rnacentral:rRNA from 1 species
UGUAAGCGUAUACCAAAGUUGUUGCAGUUAAAACGCUCGUAGUCGGAAUUUGGCAGUUCCGGAUGUGUGCACGUCGUGUGCGCACUUCGCGGGGAUUGCUUUUGUGGUCUUGCGUAGGAUGAGGCACUUUUAUUAGUGAACGUCCUCACGCAACCACUUUUUACUGUGAGAAAAUCAGGGUGCUCAAAGCAGGCAUUUGCCGUGAAUGUAUUAGCAUGGAAUAAUAGAAUAGGACUUGGUUCUAUUUUGUUGGUUUGUUGGGACUGAGUAAUGAUUAAGAGGGACAGUUGGGGGCAUUUGUAUUUCGGUGCUAGAGGUGAAAUUCUUAGAUUACCGAAAGACAAACUGCUGCGAAAGCGUCUGCCAAGGAUGUUUUCAUUGA